rnacentral:lncRNA from 1 species
GCCACCAUUCGUUUCUUCCUACUCAGCUAUCGUCCGUAUAAGUUUACAUAUGAGAGACUACUUGCACAAGAAGAUCAAGGUCGUACCAAUAUUCAGAUCGUGUCGCCUUCUUUUUCUUCGUUGUUAAUGGCCUUACCUCAUGAAGGAAAAGCAAUUAGCUUCAUAAAGGAAGAAGUCCUCCAAAGGUUUGCGGGUUUAGAGAUUGUCUGAUGCGUUGGAUUUUGGAAUCUAUCGGUGGGGACAAGGGAGUGAAAGCUAUCGGUAAAAAAAUAGAGUUUAACAAAUUGCUGUUAACCGUUCGUAAAUAUUCUGCGUUUUGAUAUUUACAUAUGUAGGGAUGGUUUUGAAUCAUGACCAUGAUGUGUUGUUGACCAUUACUUUAUUACUGAUUGUUUAGAUAAUAUAUCUUUGGGCCGUAUUUGAUGCUUACUUUGGUGUUGGUGUUUUUGAUCUUUAACUUUAAGAUCAUCCUUUCAUUUCAUUGAUUUUGAAGAACAAAGUGGUUUUGUUAAGUGUAAUAUGUGCUCUCUUUGGGUCACAUAUUGAAAGGUUAAACGCCACAUCAUAAUCAUAUAUAAU